rnacentral:snRNA from 1 species
UCUCUGCUUAUUAUCUGAUGCC